rnacentral:rRNA from 1 species
UGAGUGCGUUGAAUAGCUCGUGGAUGCGUUGUUGGUAUCGGUGAAAUACCAAUCGAGGCCUGAGAGUGCUGGUUCUACCCGAAAUAGCUGUAGGGCGAGCCUCAAGGUGAGAGAUACGGGGUUGGAGCACGGAAUGUCCUAGGGUGUAUUGCACCGAGCGAAGACUAUCAAACUCCGAAUGCCGUCAUCUUUUACUUGGGAGUCAGACUGUGGGUGUUAAGAUUCAUAGUCGAAAGGGCAACAGCCCAGAUCUUCAGCUAAGGUCCCUAAAUGUAAGUUAAGUGGUAAAGGAUGUGGGAUUUCAAAGCCAACCAGGAUGUCGGCAUAGAACCAGCCACUCAUUUAAAGAGUGCGUAAUAGCUCACUGGUCGAGUGAUCCUGCGCCGAAGAUUUCCGGGGCUAAAGCUUACUACCGAAGCGACGGAAUAAGUAAUGAUGGGAAGGGGAGAGUCCCAUACGGGUGGAAGCAGGACCGUAAGGACGUGGGGACGGACUGGGAG